GACGAACGCUGGCGGCGUGCUUAAUACAUGCAAGUCGAACGGAAAGGCCCUGCUUUUGUGGGGUGCUCGAGUGGCGAACGGGUGAGUAACACGUGAGUAACCUGCACUUGACUUUGGGAUAACUUCAGGAAACUGGGGCUAAUACCGGAUAGGAGAUACUGAUGCAUGGUGGGGGUUGGAAAGUUUCGGCGGUUGGGGAUGGACUCGCGGCUUAUCCGCUUGUUGGUGGGGUAGUGGCUUACCAAGGCUUUGACGGGUAGCCGGCCUGAGAGGGUGACCGGCCACAUUGGGACUGAGAGACGGCGCAGACUCCUACGGGAGGCAGCAGGGGGGAAUAUUGCACAGUGAGCGGAAGCCUGAUGCAGAGACGCCGCGUGCGGAAUGACGGCCUACGGGUUGUAAACCGCUUUCGCCUGUGACGAAGCGUGAGUGACGGUAAUGGGUAAGGAAGCACCGGCUAACUACGUG
rnacentral:rRNA from 1 species